GAUGAACGCUCGCGGCAGGCCUAAUACAUGCAAGUCGAACGGGAUCCAGAUCAAAGCUUGCUUUGGUCUGGUGAGAGUGGCGCACGGGUGCGUAACGCGUGAGCAACCUACCCUUGUCAGGGGGAUAGCCCGGCGAAAGUCGGAUUAAUACCGCAUGACAUCAUUGAGAGGCAUCUUUCGAUGAUCAAAGAUUUAUCGGACAAGGAUGGGCUCGCGUGCCAUUAGCUAGUUGGUAAGGUAACGGCUUACCAAGGCUGCGAUGUCUAGGGGCUCUGAGAGGAGAAUCCCCCACACUGGGACUGAGACACGGACCAGACUCCUACGGGAGGCAGCAGUAAGGAAGAUGGGUCAAGGGACGGAAGUCUGAACCAGCCAUGCCGCGUGCAGGAGGACGGCCCUAUGGGUUGUAAACUGCUUUUAUACGGGAACAAACGUCGGUACGGGUACCGGUCUGAGUGUACCGUAAGAAUAAGAAUCGGCUAACUCCGUG
rnacentral:rRNA from 1 species